rnacentral:rRNA from 1 species
CUUCUGUGGUCAUUUGCGGACCUUCAGCUCACCUGGUUCAUUCUGGGUUGGUUGGAGAUCAUCCGACUCUUGAUCACCUUUACUUUGAAAAAAUUAGAGUGUUCAAAGCAGGCUUACGCCGUGAAUACUAUUAGCAUGGGAUAACACCGUAGGACUUCGGUUCUAUUUUGUUGGUUUUUUAGCAACUGGAGUAAUGAUUGAUAGGGAUAGUUGGGGGUGCUAGUAUUCCGCGGCCAGAGGUGAAAUUCUCGUACUCGCGGAAGACUGACUACUGCGAAAGCAUUCACCAAGGAUGUCUUCUUUAAUCAAGAACGAAAGUUGGGGGAUCGAAGACGAUCAGAUACCGUCGUAGUCUUAACUAUAAACGAUGCCGACUAAGGAUCGGCAGAAGUCGUUAGCGACUCUGUCGGCACUUUGUGAGAAAUCAAAGUUUUUGGGUUCUGGGGGGAGUAUGGUCGCAAGGCUGAAACUUAAAGGAAUUGACGGAAGGGCACCACCAGGAGUGGAGCCUGCGGCUUAAUUUGACUCAACACGGGAAAACUCACCAGGUCCGGACAUAGUAAGGAUUGACAGAUUGAGAGCUCUUUCUUGAUUCUGUGGGUGGUGGUGCAUGGGCCGUUCUUAGUUGGUGGAGCGAUUUGUCUGGUUAAUUCCGAUAACGAACGAGACCUUAACCUGCUAACUAGUUGCAGGUACUUUUGUAUCUGACACUUCUUAGAGGGACUGACUA